rnacentral:rRNA from 1 species
GACAGAGGUGCCGAGCGUUAGGCGGAAUCACUGGGCUUAAAGCGUGUGUAGGCGGAUUUCUAAGUACCUUGUGAAAUCCCACGGCUCAACCGUGGAACUGCUGGGCAUACUGCGGGUCUUGGGCCAACUAGGGGCAGCCGGAACAAGCGGUGGAGCGGUGAAAUGCGUAGAUAUCGCUUGGAACGCCGAAGGUGAAAACAGGCUGCUGGGGUUGCGCCGACGCUGAGACACGAAAGCCAGGGGAGCAAACGGG